GCCUACGGGAGGCAGCAGUCGAGAAUCAUUCACAAUGGGGGAAACCCUGAUGGUGCGACGCCGCGUGGGGGAAUGAAGGUCUUCGGAUUGUAAACCCCUGUCAUGUGGGAGCAAAUUAAAAAGAUAGUACCACAAGAGGAAGAGACGGCUAACUCUGUGCCAGCAGCCGCGGUAAUACAGAGGUCUCAAGCGUUGUUCGGAAUCACUGGGCGUAAAGCGAGUGCAGGCGGUUCAAUAAGUCU
rnacentral:rRNA from 1 species